UGUCAAUGGGCAUCAAUUCAAGCAUCGAGUUCCUCAAAGAGACUUUCCCACGUUGCUCGACACCAGAAUCUCUCACGUGCAAGGAAACAGUUGUCGAUGAGAACCUCAUCUGCGCUGAGGUCAAUAGGUCACUGGUCCAACAAACACUGGCAGCUGUCAACUCCUCCGCAGCCUUGUGCUCUUUUACCAUCACUGAACAUGCCUGCUCCGUGGCUGACCAGCUUGCACCGCAAAACCUGGCCACGCUGCUGAAGUGCUCGCUGGAAAGCCAAACGACAUACCC